CCUCUCUCAGCUCUGUGUAGUUGCACUUGGCUUCACCCGUGUAACUUUCGUAAAGGGGAAGGAAAGAAAAGAUUCAGGACCUCAGAUGGGCCUUACUGUGGCCUCUCCUUGAGGGGAGCAAUAAGC
ensembl:snoRNA